UUGCUGAAUUAUUCACCCUUGUCUAAAGCGUACUUCUUGUUUCCUUGGUGGGUUCGCCCCGUCUAGGAGUAACAUAAACCUUUUGUAAUUGCAAUCAGCGUCAGUAACAAAUUAAUAAUUACAACUUUCAACAACGGAUCUGAUGGUUCUGGCAUCGAUGAAGAACGCAGGGAAAUGCGAUAAGUAGUGUGAAUUGCAGAAAACAGUGAAUCAUCGAAUCUUUGAACGCACAUUCGGCCCUAAGGUAUUCCAAAGGGCAUGCCUGUUCGAGCGUCAUUUGUACCCUAUCCUUUGCUUGGUGUUGGGCGUCUUGUCUCUAGGAUUGCUGGAGACUCGCCUUUUAGUAAUUGGCAGCCGGGGUACU
rnacentral:rRNA from 1 species